UCACGUCUUAACUCUCGAGAAAUGGGCUUCAAAUGCAUGAAGUUGCAGAAACCUCCUCGUGUACACUCUCCCAUUUCAUAUUGACGGCAACAGGCCUCUCUGAAAUCGGUCACAGGUGAAAGCUCAGCAUGAAUAGGCUGUCCAUUAAACCAGCGAUUGUUCAGGUCAAUCACAGCCUUUUCUGCAUCUUCCUCACGGCGAAACUUUACGUAUACGUUUCCAACUAGAUGGUCUCCAAGGUUAUCACAAACAUUCAUCUCCUCGACUUCACCGUACUUUUCUUCCAUUUCUGUGAAGACCUCCUCAAAGAAUUCAUCGUAAUGCUCCUGCAUCUCAACAUCGCUCACAGCACAGUGUGAGCCGUCAGCCGUCUGUGCACUGUUUUGGGGGUUACGAUAGAUGUUUUGAAUCAAGAUGGUCUGGCUAAAUGUUGGUUUGUUGUGCAACCGAGAACAUCUGUCUCCAUGACGGCAAGCUCCGAUUUUGAAAUAAAACGAACAGUUGACUUUGUCCUUCUCUGUUCCGAAGAUGGAGGCCAGAUACUC
rnacentral:lncRNA from 1 species